UUUAAGUUCAGCCUUUAAUUUUAUUUAUUUCAAUUUUCUUUUUCAGGAAAUAUAACCAAGAAGAGUUCUGAGAGAAUACCCUCAUUUGUCCUCUUGGGAUUAAACAAGACUACUGUAUUUUAUGAACUUAAGAGAAGUUGCUGUGAUUCUUAUGUGAUUCUUAUAUUUCUUGCCUUAUAUUAAACAGAACUGAGCUUGGCAAAGCCAGGAUAUGAACUGUGCAGGUGGGCUCCUCAGGGUGAGUGAAGAGAUAAGGGAUCCAGUCAGGGACUGG
rnacentral:lncRNA from 1 species